AAAUUUUUGAGGACGAUGAACGGUUUGAUUCUGAGGUCAGCCCUUCGAUAGCAUCAGUCAUAGAAAAAAUUUGUAAGAAAAAGUCGGAUGUUACAUCUUUGACUAAGGAUAGCAAGAUACCUAGCAAUUGUAAAGCUUUAGUACCACCACCUGUCAACCCAGAAAUUUGGCAAUUUUUAGCCCGUAGAGCUAAGACUGAGGAUUUGAUUUCUCAGAAUAUUCAAAAGCUAACAGGGGCAGGCAUGGUCCCUUUGAUUAAGGUGGCAGAAUUAUUACGAGGGAAAAAUCCUUGUAUUAAGACAAUGAGAGAGUUAAUUUCAAGAGCUAUUUCUAUACAGUGUAAUUUGCAUUUUGAGCUAUCUAUUAAAAGGAGAAUGAAUUUGAAGCCUCAUAUUGAACGUAAAUUCCAUCAAUUGUGUAACAGAAAUGAGGUCGUGGGUGAAAAACUCUUUGGAGAUGAUAUUAGUAAAAGACUUCAGGAGAUUAAUGAUGCACAAAAGAUAAACAAAACUUUCAGUUCAAAAAACUACAGAGGCCGAUCCUAUCGGCGAGGGUACCGGUUUGGUAUGUCAAACCCAAGAGGCAAUUUCAGAGGGCAGAGCCGCUACCCAAGAGGGUCAUACAGGCAACCCAUGAUGAAUUCUCAAUACAGAAGAAAAAAUUGAAGUCAGUUGCCAAGAGUCCUACAGAAAAUAGAAGAGGACAAGCUAGUGGUUUACAGGAACUGUAUGGUGGACCAGGAGGAUCAGCUAUGGUUUUUCUACGUACAUGUUAUGAUGUAUCUAGCAUUUCUGCGAGAUGAAUGGUUUUUGGACAUUCCAUUUGUUUUUUUGCAACAGGAGUUUGCUGACAUUUGGAGUUGAAUCGAACAGUUUUAGUCAAUAGCAUUAAAUUUCGAGAACGUUUGAGAAGAAGCAUAGAGAAAAUGUGAUAAUUUAAGAAUAAUGAGAAAACAACAGUGUUAAUUUGUUACAUGUGAGAGGCAUUUUAAAGUGAACUUUAUAGAGUAUUAAUUGUUUUCUGAAGAUUGUAACAGAUUUUUGUUUUUGAACAUAAUAAAAGUUAUUAUGAA